rnacentral:rRNA from 1 species
CCUACGGGAGGCAGCAGUGGGGAAUAUUGCACAAUGGGGGAAACCCUGAUGCAGCGACGCCGCGUGAGUGAAGAAGUAUUUCGGUAUGUAAAGCUCUAUCAGCAGGGAAGAAAAUGACGGUACCUGAUUCAGCAGCCCCGGCUAACUACGUGCCAGCAGCCGCGGUAAUACGUAGGGGGCAAGCGUUAUCCGGAUUUACUGGGUGUAAAGGGAGCGUAGACGGCAGCACAAGUCUGGAGUGAAAUGCCGGGGCUUAACCCCGGAACUGCUUUGGAAACUGUGCAGCUAGAGUGCAGGAGAGGUAAGUGGAAUUCCUAGUGUAGCGGUGAAAUGCGUAGAUAUUAGGAGGAACACCAGUGGCGAAGGCGGCUUACUGGACUGUAACUGACGUUGAGGCUCGAAAGCGUGGGGAGCAAACAGGAUUAGAUACCCGAGUAGUC